rnacentral:sRNA from 1 species
UUAGCUCCCUUUUGCUCAUUACUCCUCUUAUUUUUUAAAUUUCCUUUACAAAAAUUCUUUCAGUAACAAUAUAUUUAUCUCUUUUUAUGCAAAUGAUUUAAAGAUAGUAAGCGGUUCUGAUUUUGAAAAAAAAAAUUCAGAACAGUUUUUAUUUUUUUUUUAAGUGGUUGAAUAGGAUCGUCAUCUUUGGUUUUGGUAUUAAGACACGGCACGGAAACAUUGGAGAUCAAACUAGUAACAGUACAAUGAUACUCACAUGGUUCAUAUACAUAUAAACCUUAGGAUGAAUGUUCUCAACAGAGUACUGUAUGAUAUGUAUAUAGUGUAAAAACGAUUUCUAAUGAUGAUCAAUAGUAGCUACACAUGAUAGAUUUCAUGACGAUUGUGAUAGAUGGAAUUAAAAACUCCCAAGUCCCAGUGAUUUUAUGUACAUUUAGUGUAAAUAAUUUGUACAGAUGUUCAUAUAACUAUAUAUACACCAAAUUUAUACUUAAUAUUAAGGGGAGAUAAAGCUUUGAUCUUGAAGUAUUAAUUAAAAUGACAGCUCUGACCUUGAAAAUGGACACUCAAUGCCAAUUUAUAAAUUUUAUAACAUGAUGCUAUAUUUACUGUGUUAAUCAUUUUUGUCCAAAACUUCUAGAAAUGGCUAAAUUUUGUUUUUUAAAAUGACUUCUUAAUGAGUUAUAUUUAUGAUUAGAUUUGAUAGAUUGAUUUGUACAAAAAACGUUUUUGAUAUGAUUUUGUCAGAGUCUGUCAUCUCAUGAAAUUAAUGACAUACAGUGCAUGUUCAUCAUGGACGUCCUUUUCAUUGUAAAUUGUACAUAUUAAAGAGACUGAAUGAAUGAAUGGAUGUUAUGAACAAAUUUUCUGUCAUAUUAAGUUAUAUAUACACAUAUAUAUAUAAAUGUAUAUUAUAUAGAUCAAUUUAUUUGAAGAUAUUAUUGUUUUGUAUUCAAAUCAUGUUUCAGAUAUGAUGUAAAGGUACUGUGGCUGCUUUUAACUGUUUUAUCAUGGUGUCACUUUUGGUGAAAGUGUCCGAACAAAGAAAAACCCAAUUAACACAGUUAAAAGAAAUUAGAGAUGAAUUUUAGAGUUUAUAUGAAUAUUUUAACUCUUUGUUAUUGUCUAUGUUAAGUUUAUUUUCUUUAAGAAUAAGAAAACAAUAUAUAUGUAUCUUUUUAACAUGUUUGAAAUCUUACAAUUAGAAUUGUCUUUUGAGAUGCUGAUAUUCAAAACUUGUAUAUCCAAUGAAAAACCAGUGGAAUUUUAUUUUUAAAAAAUACUAUAAAAAGAUACUGUACAGUUGCUAUGAGCUCAAAAACAAAAAAAGGUAAAUCUGUUGCCCUGUUAUGACCAGCCUGUGAUUAAACUAACUAUUUUUGUUGAAACCUUUAUGCAAACCAUCAACCGUCAUCACUUGUGUCAUUGUGCCUUAUUUUUAUACACCAAUAAAAAAUGUGUAUAAU